UAUAUAUAUCUAUAUAUAGUUUAAUUGUUAAUUGGUGAUGUUAGAAUGACUAUGUAUGAAGUGAGCAUGUGUUGUGUAGGUUCUGUGCAUCUGUAUGUGUGUGUAUGGGUGUGUGUGUGUACGUGUUGUGUAGGUGUGUGUACGUGUUGUGUAGGUGUGUGUACGUGUUGUGUAGCUGAGUGUACGUGUUGUGUAGGUGUGUGUGUGUGUGUGUACGUGUUGUGUAGCUGUGUGUACGUGUUGUGUAGCUGUGUGUACGUGUUGUGUAGAUGCGGUAUUGUGUGGACCUCACCUGUGCUGCCGACAGGAGAGUUGUGUUCCCUGUAGUCCUGGUGGGGCUCUGGUACCGGGAGGGACUCUGACGGACAGACAGACAGGUGAGCAGAGAGACAGGUGAGCAGACAGACAGGUGAGCAGACAGCCAGACAGGUGAGCAGAGACAGGAGAGCAGUGAGACAGGUGAGCAGACAGACAGACAGGUGUGUAGAGAGACAGGUGAGCAGAGAGAGAGACAGGUGAGCAGGGAGACAGGUGAGCAGACAGACAGGUAUCCCAACCUCAUCAUGUUGUAGUGCUAACUCAUUGCAUCUCAUUGUUUACCCCCCCCUACCU